GACGAACGCUGGCGGCGUGCUUAACACAUGCAAGUCGAACGGAAAGGCCCUGCUUUUGUGGGGUGCUCGAGUGGCGAACGGGUGAGUAACACGUGAGUAACCUGCCCUUGACUUUGGGAUAACUUCAGGAAACUGGGGCUAAUACCGGAUAGGAGCUCCUGCUGCAUGGUGGGGGUUGGAAAGUUUCGGCGGUUGGGGAUGGACUCGCGGCUUAUCAGCUUGUUGGUGGGGUAGUGGCUUACCAAGGCUUUGACGGGUAGCCGGCCUGAGAGGGUGACCGGCGACAUUGGGACUGAGAUACGGCCCAGACUCCUACGGGAGGCAGAAGUGGGGAAUAUUGCACAAUGGGCGGAAGCCUGAUGCAGCAACGCCGCGUGCGGGAUGACGGCCUUCGGGUUGUAAACCGCUUUCGCCUGUGACGAAGCGUGAGUGACGGUAAUGGGUAAAGAAGCAGCGGCUAACUACGU
rnacentral:rRNA from 1 species